rnacentral:tRNA from 1 species
UCGUUGGCUGGCCAGAUUUACCGACCCUGAGGGGAUGUUGCCAUAACUAAGUCAAGCUUGCGCUUAUUGCUUA